rnacentral:rRNA from 1 species
AUGGAAGGUUUAUCUUUCUCCAUCCAGAGAAGUGAGUUACCAGUGCAGAUCGACAUGGAUUCUAUAAUUGCAGUGAAAUUGAUCCAGGCUUCAGAGGUUGACAGAUCGGUAUAUUCGUCUAUCAUCAAGGAGAUUAGAUAUCUUAUGUCUCUACGUGAAAAUUGUAUUACUCAUGUAAGUCGUAGCCAAAAUAAAGUUAGUGAUAGCUUAGCUAAAUUUGCUCGUAGUGAGGGUAGAACCAUGACUUGGCUAGGUUCUGGUCCUCCUGAGGCUUUGGAACUAGCUGCGAUUGAUUGUAAGGACUUUGGUGGAUGA